rnacentral:lncRNA from 1 species
CUUUGAUCUCUAUUGAUUACUUCUUACAGGUAUGGCAUAAAGUAAGUUCCUUUCUUUUUUGGUUAUUUUAGAAGCCCUUAUUUUUUUUCUCUCAACAAGCUACUGUUAAGUCAUAACCCCCUUUCUCCUUCUCUGAUUCCCUGCCCUAAACCCUCUCAGUGAAAGAACUUUGACAUUCAUCACAUUCUAUAACUGCCCUGUCUUUAUACUUCUAAUCAGCACAGAGCUGUCACUUCAAAUUCCCUGAGAAACUCUCAAGUUUUAGGGAUUUGAGGACUCACUGCUCUGUAUCUGAUAAAAAAAAAUCUGAUGUCCACUUUGACAACCGCCUUCUGUAGCUAUAUCUACUACACUGCCAACCUACAAAGUUACAACAACUUGCCUGAAGCCACACAACUAGUUUCUUGAAUACUGAAGAAUUUCACCUCUAUGUUGAGUCUUCUCUAAAGAAGAUAAAAAAGACUUAGAAAAUGAUGAACCAUCUUAAGAAGAAUUUGAUUGUUGUCAUCUGAACUUUUUUACUGUUGUUGUUUUUGAAGAGGUGCCUUGGCAGGAGUGGUGGCUCAGAACCUGUGAUUUUAUCUGGAUAGGGGACCAGUACUUUUGGUGUGAAAAUUCCCUCUACCAUUCUGUACUGUUGCUUCCCUGCUGGCUGCCUGGUCAGAGCCCCGAACUUCUGUGCUGGUACCAAGGCACUCUGUCACUGCUGCAGCCUUCACCCUGGAAUCCUAGUCAGCUGGAUUCUUACCACAGCAUCUUCAAGUGA